UCUUCUCAUAGGCCAAAGUAUGCAACUGAAAUCGCUUGAAUUUCUGCUCCUUUCCUUUUCAUCAGUUUGAUAAUCAAUCACCCUGGUUGAUUCCGUUGUAAACUAAAAUUAAAGAGAAAUAAGUAAUUAGAGAAGAGUUAUUGAGGAGAUUUUCGAAAAUUUCAAUGGAAGGAAACUCAUUUUCUUCAGUCAUUAAAGUCGAAGUACCUUGCACAUGAACAAGAUGUUCAGCUCUAUAAUCAAUUCUGAGAAUUUGGAGAAGAGUGUGGCCUGUCUGAGACAACAUUAUGCUCAUUCUCACCAUGAAUUCGUGCUGGAAUGCUAAAACCGGCC
rnacentral:lncRNA from 1 species